CUCUCACAGGCUGUUAGGAGCCCGUCCUGGUGUGGCACUGCCAGGAGCCCGGGUGUGGAUGGCCUGGGCCGGGAAGACCGUCCCGUCAGCGUCUGCUGUCGGGGAGGGCUGUUCUCUGUGUCCUAGGGGGAAAGGCAGCCCUUCCUUGCUCAGCUCCAGGAACUGAACGCCACCUGGACCCAUGAAUGUUGGUAUUUACGUUAGUAAAUGAGGCCUUGAGUAGGAGUAAAAUACUAGAGUCUUUCAUUAAAAGGGCAAAACAAUUUUUAAGAUUUCUUAGAAGAAUUAUUAUCUUUUAUUUCUGUUUCUCUUGGCUGCUAUGAGCUACUCAGUAGAGCCCUGAAAAGAGAAAGUUCUCCUCCUGACCUAACACGCGGCGUCUUCGUGAUCACUACCAUCGCGUGUGCCCUGAUAGCAAGGGUAGCUGUGGAAGCAGCUUUUCUCCCCAGGGUAGGCUGGUGACGUGCGUGAAACGCCACAUGUGAGCCGUGUCGUUACAGAAGGAAAUGAGCAGGCUACGCACUGACGCUUGAAGUAAUGAUACUGUGGAGUGAUACAAGAACCCACCCAGAGCAUUUUCUGAGGAGAAUGAUGAUAGCUUCUAAUCACCUACAAAAGAAGUAUGCUAAGAAGUUCAAAUGGGGGUCAGGUAAGACCCAAGAGCAGAUAAUCCGGCU
rnacentral:lncRNA from 1 species